rfam:Desulfobacterales bacterium S7086C20 S7086CLC20_contig000028, whole genome shotgun sequence.
GCGCCUGUAGCUCAGUUGGAUAGAGCAACGGACUUCUAAUCCGUAGGUCGGGGGUUCGAAUCCCUCCAGGCGUG